UGGAGCAUUUUAUCGGCAUCUACACUGUCUAACUCCUCGAACCAGGUGUAAGUCUCUCGCCGGCGCAAUACGGCUUCUGGGAUGGCCAUUUUACCAAUGACGCGAGAAACCCACAGACGUCCACUGCUGGACAAAGGCCUCCCCCAAGCCUCGCCACAAAGACCUGCUGGAUGCAGGCAGUGCAGAGGACCGCUUAAACUAAUUAAGAUUAAAACUAAUAUCAACUAACUGUUAUUUAAUCCAUCGGUUCUAAGGUCGAUAGACUAUAAUGAAUCUGUAUGUACAACGGA